GAUGAACGCUGGCGGCGUGCUUAACACAUGCAAGUCGAACGGGAAAUAUUUCAUUGAGACUUCGGUGGAUUUGAUUUAUUUCUAGUGGCGGACGGGUGAGUAACGCGUGGGUAACCUGCCUUAUACAGGGGGAUAACAGUCAGAAAUGGCUGCUAAUACCGCAUAAGCGCACAGAGCUGCAUGGCUCAGUGUGAAAAACUCCGGUGGUAUAAGAUGGACCCGCGUUGGAUUAGCUAGUUGGUGGGGUAACGGCCCACCAAGGCGACGAUCCAUAGCCGGCCUGAGAGGGUGAACGGCCACAUUGGGACUGAGACACGGCCCAGACUCCUACGGGAGGCAGCAGUGGGGAAUAUUGCACAAUGGGGGAAACCCUGAUGCAGCGACGCCGCGUGAAGGAAGAAGUAUUUCGGUAUGUAAACUUCUAUCAGCAGGGAAGAUAGUGACGGUACCUGACGAAGAAGCCCCGGCUAACUACGUG
rnacentral:rRNA from 1 species